AAUCCAGAGAUGGAUUUGUGCCUUCGGGAACUGUGAGACAGGUGCUGCAUGGCUGUCGUCAGCUCGUGUUGUGAAAUGUUGGGUUAAGUCCCGCAACGAGCGCAACCCUUAUCCUUUGUUGCCAGCGAUUAGGUCGGGAACUCAAAGGAGACUGCCAGUGAUAAACUGGAGGAAGGUGGGGAUGACGUCAAGUCAUCAUGGCCCUUACGACCAGGGCUACACACGUGCUACAAUGGCGCAUACAAAGAGAAGCGACCUCGCGAGAGCAAGCGGACCUCAUAAAGUGCGUCGUAGUCCGGAUUGGAGUCUGCAACUCGACUCCAUGAAGUCGGAAUCGCUAGUAAUCGUGGAUCAGAAUGCCACGGUGAAUACGUUCCCGGGCCUUGUACACACCGCCCGUCACACCAUGGGAGUGGGUUGCAAAAGAAGUAGGUAGCUUAACCUUCGGGAGGGCGCUUACCACUUUGUGAUUCAUGACUGGGGUGAAGUCGUAACAAGGUAACCGUAGGGGAACCUGC
rnacentral:rRNA from 5 species